rnacentral:rRNA from 1 species
CCCUUAGAUGUUCUGGGCCGCACGCGUGCUACACUGAACGGUUCAAUGGGUAAGGUAGUGCGAAAGCAUGACCUAAUCUCGAAAUCCGUUCGUGCUGGGGAUAGAAGCUUGCAAUUAUCCUUCUUGAACGAGGAAUACCUUGUAAGCGUGAGUCAUCAUCUCACGCUGAAUACGUCCCUGCCCUUUGUACACACCGCCCGUCGCUCCUACCGAUUGAGUGUUCCGGUGAGGCUUUGGGAGAAUGGCCUCAACAUGAGUUUAUCGUGUUUUGCCGUUUGAACUUAGUCAAACCUUAUCACUUAGAGGAAGGAGAAGGCGUAACA